AUACAGGCCUGAGAGGGGAGGUCUAGCUAGCAAGAAGGAGAGUUUCCUAGGGUGGCUUAUUCAUUGCACUUGGGAUAUGCUGGCCCUUGUGAUUUCCCCACGUUCAGGAAACUUGACUGCAUCAUUUGUGGUAGUUGGGGACUGUGUUCCUGUUUUCUCCUG